GCACCGACACACGGCACGGAGAGGAGAAGAGGCAGCAAUGGUGUUCGGGGGCACCUGUCUCCAGAUGGUCCCAAAUGGUCCCAAAAAGCGCCAAUGCUGCGCUGUCCCGCCGCCAGAGGCGACCCCUCGGGACCGGCUUCAGAGCCACCGGCGAAGUCGUGUUUCCCCCUGGGAAUGUAGUGAUCCCUGUCUCCCUGCGCUGCCUCCUUUAGCUGGGAUGUGUCCCAAAGCACUUACAGAAUCACCAAGGCUGGGAGAGACCUUUGGGAUCAUCCGGUCCAACUAUGCACCAAGUGCUCUGUAACCCCUAAAUCACAUCACCCUGCACCACAUCCAACACCUCCAGGCAUGGUGACUCCACCACCUCCCUGAGCAACCCAUUCCAAUGCCUGACACCUGAACAGUGAAAAUACUGUUCUGAUAUCUGAUUUGAAUUGCCCAUCUCAGCUUAAGGCCAUUUCUUCUGCUCCUCUCACUGAAGACACAGCAGAAGAAACUGGCCCCCACCACACUACAACCUCCUCUCAGGUAGUUGUGGAGAGUGAUGAGGUCCCCCCUGAGCCUCCUCAAGACUAAACAAGCCCAUAUAAAUAACUUAGUUGAGGGCACAGAGCCCUGUCAGUCACACCCAGCCCGUCACUGUGGGAGCACAGCUCCAGAAGGUCACGGAGCCGCCUGCCAGCACCUGCCACUGCACCCAGAGCAGCAGGACUUUAAAUAACCCAUUUUGUCCCUUUCCUGUCCACCUGUCAUGGCAGAGCUCAGUGCAGCUUCACAGCUACAGCUUACCCGGGUUUGCUCUUAAAGGAACAGCCGAGUCACUCUUUUCUAUUGAAAUCAGCACCACAUCAGUCAUAGACGAGUGUUAUGACACAGAUCGGGCUCAGAAACAAGUACAGCUUCGAGGAAAUAGGAGUUACCCAUUUGUAUUUGCUUCUCAGUCACACAUUAGCCCAUUCUCCCUGCUUGUUUCCUCUUUUGCCUCAUCAAAUUGCCCUUACAAGGCCUGGAUUAGUUCCUGCCUCCUCAGGGGUCUUGACUUUCGUUUUCUGGUUCCUACUCCCACCUGUUGCUUCCAAAUCCCAAUUGUAUUUUUCCUUUUGUAUUCCAAGCUGUCACUUCCCACCAGCUCUGUCUUUGCUUCCACUGCCACCCACAACAGCUGCCACAUGUCCAGGAUUUGGGUUGUGCUUCCCUGGGCAAAGACCAGCAGAGAGGAGCUGCCAUCCCUUCGUUCUCUGGUUUCACACACAGCAAUGACCACCACUGGUCACAAAAGGGAAGCAAAGCAUCACAGCUUUAUAAAUGCAAGAUUAUCAUAUCCUUCCCGAGAGGGGUGUCCCAAGGCCUUUCUGAAGCCCUUCACAGCAAGGUAACUCCUUUCAGACUCUGCCUGCACCUCCCAACAUCAAUUAAAAUGGAUAUCUUCCCAUUCAGAAGAGAGCCUUCCUUAUACAGCCCAACCACGGUCUAACUUCUGGGGACAUUUCAUAAAAGGUCUCAAAACAACAGAUGCUCACUUGCUGCUGGGGCUUGGCUCAAAGAAUUUGACAAUUCCCAGAGUGAUGCCCUCUCUGCACUCUCCUCUUUGCUCUAUGGAAAAAUGAAGGAGUAAAGCUAAGCCUCUGAGUUAGAGUCGUUGUUAAGCCCUGAGAAGGAUGAGAGGAGAGCACCCAGUGGCUUCUGCAGCUGAUUUCAUUUAGUGUUUGUUCUUGCUGCUCACUCAGGAGGAACAUGACUCAAAUAUUGUGAAAGAGCAAAUGGCAACACAGCUCUCAACUCAGCCUGAAACUGCUCCUCUGUGUAUGUACACAAACCCCACGGAGUUUCAUUACAAAGGAAGAAGAGUGGGAUCUGUGUGACACAAACCCUUGUUGUUACAUGAGUUACCUGCUGUUACACAAGACUUUCAGAAAUGACAGGUGAUGCUCAGACCUAAUACAUAACUGGGUUUAAUAUCCCUGAUACAAUAACAACAAAAAAAAACCCCCAAACACACAACAAAAAUUUGAAAGUUUAAUUGCUAAAUAUUCAGUUACCUCCUUUCACUUCUUUCUAAUGUUUUUCAUUUUCUAAACCUCUAAGGCAGUUUUAGUCCUUGAAUAACUGUUAAGGGGAUAAAUGUACAGUUAUAAUCCUGAGAUACGGGGAGGGGUGUGAAUGUAUUCAGAGAAGAUUUACAUCCUUCUUCUCUCAUCUUCUUGUAAGACCUUUAUCAACUACUCUGAUUACAUCAAACAGAACAGUAACAUUUUUCCCUGAACUGCACUGUCCAAGUAGCUGUGCUGCCUAUAUCACAAACACCUCAUUCCUCAUAUUACAUUACAUAUUACAAAUUACAGAGUCAGGAUUCUGGCUUGUGUUUGAAUUUCAGGCUGCACAGUUCAAGCUGCAAAACUGUGGCAUCUUCCACAUGCAGUGCCUGAGUACUGAGUGCUCACAAAUCAGGGAGUUACAUCUUUGCAGCCUUCCCAUGGCAAUGACUUUGUCAGGCUAAUUAAUAAAAUUGGGGGGAUUUGGCAGCAGCUGAUAAUGAUUAAUGGCCUUACAAUUUAGAGAGUGUAGAAGCAACUGCAUGUUUUCCUCAAGAAUUGACUAAACAGAGCUUCUUUGUAAAGGAAAUCUUAUAUUUGCUCCUUGAGGUGAAAGUUCAGAUCUCCCAAUAUAUCUAUCCUUGGUUAGGUGUGUUACUACAAGACAGAGACAUGAUUGGUAAUCAUGAUUAAUUCCUGGAAUUCGAAGGCAGCUGUAAAUUUUAAACACAAACCCCUAGUUUGGCAAAUGAAAUCAGAAAAUGUGCUAAAUCCUCUCAGAUCCAAUGCAGUGAUGUGUGGAAGAAAGAGCACAUUUCCUCCUAAGUAUUUCUGCAGUGCAAAAUGGGCAUAUAGAAAAUCAUGCAAGUCAGUAUAAUCAGUAGCAACUCACAGUUUUACCUCAUUCCAUCCCAAAGAAUCUCACAGCCUUUAUGGAGAUUGUAGUAGAGAAAUACAAACCAAGGAUCAUUUUACCCCCCCUGAAAUGCAACCAACUGCUUAACAAUUGUACCUCUAUGCUGGGAGCCUGGUCUGCCACAGGAAACUUGCUCUGGAUUAGGAACAAAGGUUCCCCCUUGGAAUUUUUUAGACUCUAUGAAAUUUAUGAGUAUGGAUAUUAAUUUUGUAGAGUCUAUGAACACUUUUAAAUGACUGGGCACACCAGUGAGUUGAAGGCACAUGUGGAGCACACAUAAGCUUGGACUUGAUAGCAAAGCCUGACUGGCAUAUCAGGGCUGGCUGGGAGCAGCAGGGGCUGGUUUGCUGUGUGUGAUCAGAGUGACAGCCCUCAGGAACCGCUGAGCCUCCCCGGCCCUACAAACAGUCUGGCACAGCCAUUAACCAGGCAAAUACGUCCCCUCCAACUGUUUAUUCAUCACUCCCGUUAGAACUGAAUGGUGAGAUAAUGACAGAAGAAUCUUCCACGUGUCCCUGCAGUUGUUGCAGUUUAAACCUUCGGAUGAAAAUAUUUCGGGGCUGAUAAGUGGCUUGGAGCAGGACAGCAGGUCAGUGACACUGACAGCAGGCAGUGACUAACAGUGUGUAGCUGAAUAAAUCCAGUGAUCCUAUUUAUAUUGGGGUUUAUUUUUAUUUUUGCUGGAAUUCCCAUUAGACAUAGUUGCUAAACCUGAUUUUUACUUUUUCCUAUAGCAACAUUUUUAACUUACCAGAGUAUCUGCUUGGAAUCCCUGAAGAGAUGGAUGGUCAUGUGCUCACUCCCAGGUACCAGAGGCAAAGAGGCAGGCAAAAUAUUCUGAAAAACCUUAAAUGAAAUUGAAAGGCCGUGAAACCUAAGCCACUUCUGUACAUGGGACAUAAGCUUUGUGGGUGCUUAAGAAUGUUUUGUUCAUAUUUUGCAGAUAAGGUGUACAGUUGUGAAUUUUGUUAUUAGAGCCAGUCCAUCCUGCAGUGAGGCAAUAGGAGACUUCAACCGAGCUCAAUACAGCUACAAUUUCACAAAAAUGUUUGAAAAACCAGAUGUUUAUUUGAAAUCAGCUGGUGAUUAAAUGGUAUAUGUUGUGGUUGGGUUUGUGUCUCCAUCUGAGGCUUUAUUUUGCUACAGAUGCUCUGUGUAAUGAAAGCUCUCAUGAGAAAAACUGAGCACUGACAAGAAGUAUUCCUAGGUAGAAUGAUCAAUCACAAAUAAAUACACUUUCAAACUGGAAUACCGGAGGAUUUAUACUGGGAGUUAUUCUGGAAUACUUGUGCCAACCAAAUUUUUAUGUAGAAGGCCCUGAAAUAAUUCCCAGGGGAAGUAGCUCCUCAGUUUCCUUCAGUGAUGCUCUAUCUGAAGCAAGGCUGAAUUUCCUCUCAGAAGCUCUUGUGCUAGAGAGGAUUUCUAAGGAAACACAAUAAAUAUAGAUAAAAAAGCAUGGAAGUGACAGUAGUAAAAAUUGAAAUGAAUCCUGAAUUGAAGCUUUAGGAUAACUAAGGAAAAACUAUACUUUGUGCUUCUGUGGGUUCUCCUGCAAGGAGAUGUACAGAAGAUCCCCUCCCUCUUCUCCACUCACAGGGAAAUUAAAAGGGAGCCAACAUUUCUACAGAGACAAUUUAUAAAUGUUUGCUUUCCAGGAUUUUAACUCUGGCCAAUUCUCCAAACUCUUAUUUAUCAUCUCCUCAGUCCUGCAGCAGGAAAACUUGCUGAAUCCUAAGCAAAGUUGAGUAACACUUCUAGAUUUGGUCCCUCAGGAAUAGCAGUAGAGACAGAUUUUACACUCUGCGUAUUUCAUCCAUUGUCUUCUUACCAAGUGGCAGCGGGUUUUGUGGGAAUCAUUAAAAACUUCCCUUGUGAUGCAGAGCACUAUUGAUAUUUGAACUCUCAGGGGGAGUAACCUCUGUCUCUAUCCAAAAAGCAUCAGAUUAAAAUAAACACAACAUUGCUCAGUGAAGAGUGAGGAUGUUAAUGACAAUUCUGGGGUUUGAAGUUGGCAUCACUCAAACAUUUGCAGCGUGUCUUGAGGCCCGUGUAGGAGUGUGGUGACAGGAAAGGUGAGACAAAAGACAGGCAAACAUGUAGGAAUCUGUCAUAUACAGGUUUUGCUGUAAUAGACAUUGUACACAUUGUUCUUUUCAUCUGAGAAUGUCAAAGCUCAUUAAAAAAAUCUAGUUAAAUAUAAGAA